CGCCACACCAACAUGUCCAUCUUUCCCAGGAAAAACCUCUCUUACACGACCCAACGGCCAAUGUCCACGGAUCUGAUCAGCAGAAAUCGCGAGAACCACGUCCCCAACUUUUAUAUCACGUUUCGGUUCCCACCACUUUGUCCGUAUGUUAAUCAACGGUAGCCACUCUCGCAUCCAUCGUUUCCAAAAACGGUUAACUAACUCUUGUACGCUUCUCCAACGUUGCCGAGGAUUGAAUUCCAAACAAUCAACAGGCUCAGGAGACGAUUUUCCCC